rnacentral:tRNA from 1 species
GCCUUCGUAGCUCAGCUUGGAUAGAGCAGCUCCCUUCUAGGGAGCAAGGAGAAGGUCGAGGGUUCAAAUCCCUCCGAGGGCA